GUUGGGUUAAGUCCCGCAACGAGCGCAACCCUACUCUUAUGUUGCCAGCACGUUAUGGUGGGGACUCGUAAGAGACUGCCGGGGUCAACUCGGAGGAAGGUGGGGACGACGUCAAGUCAUCAUGCCCCUUAUGUCCAGGGCUUCACACAUGCUACAAUGGCCAGUACAGAGGGCUGCGAGACCGUGAGGUGGAGCGAAUCCCUUAAAGCUGGUCUCAGUUCGGAUCGGGGUCUGCAACUCGACCCCGUGAAGUCGGAGUCGCUAGUAAUCGCAGAUCAGCAACGCUGCGGUGAAUACGUUCCCGGGCCUU
rnacentral:rRNA from 1 species